GUAGCUGCCUAGUUUCCAGUUAAGAGAAUGACCUUCACUCUAACCAGUGAGCUUCAGUUCCCACCAGUUAGCGAAAUUAAGGGGUUUUAAACCAGUUAGACACUGCCUGGUCAGGUUACUCAUUAUGUACCUUGUUCCCUUGGGCCUUUUUUUAAGCUCUGUAGAACAGAGAAUAAAAAUGUUGUGCCCAUUCUGUGGAACAUUUCAGUACAGAACAAGUUGUUUUGUUGGUUUUGAAAGCAAAAUGUAAAAUACCUCCUCCCUCCUUUUUUUUCCCCCCUUCUCAUCUUAAGGCUAGCUCAGAAGGCUGUUACAGAGAAGAGACUGGACUUUUGGUGAAAGCAAGGACAAGUGCAAAAAUCUCACUUUGUCAAAAUAAGCGUGGAGAAAAUUAAGUAUAGAGAGCAAGUCCAUCAGGAGAACUUAAAAGGCUUCUGAUUUGCUGUUUGUGCUUCAGAGUCCUGUCCUAUUAACAUCAUGACAAGAAAUCCUGCAUCUGCAAAGCACAUCACAGUACCACAAGCGGUUGCAGAGCCUGACUCAGACACCGGAGACAGCAGGAGAUCCAUGUUAGCAAGGCGUCACACUCUGCUCUACCCAUUUGAGUCUGCUCUUCACUCAGAUCAAGCUCAACCAAGUGUCUCACCUCUGCUGUCCAUUUUUACUAACAUCAAAUGGCCUGAGCUAAAUUCUAGGACAAUUCAACAGGCAUUAAAUGGACAGUUAUGCAGAAGAGACACACUGCAUUCUCAAAUAUGUGCUACAGGAUGCCAAGCAAGUGGGUAACAAAAGAAAUACUCUACAUGGAAGGAACUAGAUCUGCUAACUCGUGCUAUUUAUCCUCAAAGGUUAUUUAUACACAAAGUGCCAGAGAACCCUUACGCACAACAGAACAAACCUGACUCAAAUCUUCCCAUAGUCUCCAUCUUCUACAAAUAGGUAGACUCACAGGUGACAGAGGUCAACUUUAAACUGGAUAUUUAAAGAAAAAAAAGGCAUGAGCUGCUAUACAGCAUAGAGAGCUGUUUCCUCUUCCACAGUAUUAGGAAGAUAAUAAAGAGGAAACUGAGAAAGACUGGACACUUUACAUACUACAGACAGGUUUCACCAGCUUUCUGCAUAUCCUACAGCUAGAUUCAGAAAUUCUACAUAGAUAAUAUUACAGGGACAGUUAGUUAGUGGGUUGUUGGUUUCUUUUUUUAAACUACACUAGAGCAACACUAUGAAGCUUUUAUCCAAAGAGAUGCACUAGAAAUCACACUAGAAAAAUUAGUAUCAAUGAACUGCCUUCAAGUGGUGUGAUCUGAAAGUGUACAGCCAUGACAGACUUCAAAGUGCUGUUGAAUUAUAGAUAGUCUGAAUCACAACCAUGGUAAAUUAUCUGUGCUGAGGUUACAGCAAGCAGUAUUUCAUAAAGCUUUCCAAAUGUCUCAAAAUUUGAGGGGAAGACACUGCUGCUCCAGGCCUAUUAUUCAGAGGAAGAAGUAGCGUACAGAAGGGACAAAUGUUCUUCUGUGUGCAUUUCUGCAGCAUUUGAGAAAGGCUUUGCAAGCCUUUUAGGCAAGGUUAAUGAGGGGUCAUCAGAGGAGAAGCUAGCAAGACUGCACUCUGAUAUUCAGCCUGUUAAUGGAACUGAGGCUUUGUGGGCUGCAGUGUUCUCAUCCUGAAAAAAUCUAGCAGUUAAGAGGAAAAAAAGAGCACAGUGACCAUUGAGCUAAAUUAACAAAAUAUCAACAAAGAAUCCACUGAGCUUAAAAAUCAUCCAGCAUUACAUAGUUAGUACCUAGAAAUGGAAGUCUCAGUGCGUAAGAACUGCAUCUACUUCUGCGUCAACACAAACCUCUUCAGACUUUCCAGUGUCAGUGUUAUAGACUAGCAGAGAGGAAAAAAAGGAAGUGAGGGGGAAGAGACUGUUCAAAAAACACAUCCCUGUACAGCCACAGACAUUGAAAUUGAUCAAGGAUCUACACAGACCCCUCCAUGUGUAUACCUUUCUACAUGGCACUGAGCACAAAAAAAUGAUUAAAUGGAGCUGAACAGCUACUGUUCCAAAAGUAAGCAUCCAGGCUAAACAACUCGUUUCCCCAGCUGCUCCUCAUAAGAAUUGAGCUCUAGACCCUUCACCAACUUCGUUGCUCUUCUUUGGACAUGCUCCAGCAAUUCAAUGUCUUUCUUCCAUGCUGUGAGGGGCCCAAAACUUUUCAGUCCCUUUCCUCUCCAUCUUAGGUUGAAGAUGGAAGACAAAAGUUUCUGAGGACGGGUAGUGGAAUAAAGUGCAAUACCAAGUUCACACUUACUUAUUGAAAGUAAAAUUUCUCAUUGCUGCUUGGCAAGUCUCCACAAGAAGAAUCAAUUUUAUACAAGCUACAGACAGCCUUUGUGAAGUACGUAAACAACCUUGAGAAAGAGAACACUGAAGUGUUAUAGAUAGAUAGAUAAUAUACACAUCUAACACAAUGGAAAAGAUUAGGGUUAAAACAGUUACCUAUUACACUUUUUAAAGUUUCUAAUUCAGGGGAAAGAUUCUUUUCUUCUUUUCUAGGCUUCCUCUUACACAAGAUAUUAAAAAUGCUUUAAGUUUCAGUAAAGUACACAAGUAGUCAACCUAAGUGAAAGGCUGAAGGAUUAUUCACAUUAGGUAUACUGUUUCCUGGUGUACAUUCUCUAUUUUACUUUCUGGCAUUUCAACGCACAACAGUAGUAGCACUGCACAAAAUUUAUCAGAAGAUGCAGUUAGUUUAUUAAAAACACAACAAAAAUUAAAA